rnacentral:lncRNA from 1 species
GGGCAAGUUUGUUGGGCAUCUCCUUGAUUGUUGAUUGACACUAGGGUCCAGCCCACCGUGGGUGGUGCCAUCCCCUGGGCUGAUGGUCCUGGGUUCUAUAAGAAAGCAGGAUGAGCAAGCCGGUGAGCAAUGUCCUUCCGUGGUUCCUGUGUCUGCUCUUGUCUGGGUUCCUGCCCUGACUUUCCUAACAGAUGAGCUGUGAUCAUGACUGUUUAAGGGCUGUGAACUCUCUAUACCUUGCACAAGCACUUGGAAUCCAUUCACUGGGAGCAGUCUCUUUCCUGGGCGCGACUUUUGCUCUUUCUACCUUCAGGGCUUUAAAACUUCUGCAGCUGUUUGUUCCAGAUGUGGAAUCUUGCCCCAGCAUCUGACCAUCCAUCAGCCAGCUAUUUCACACAGCAAUAUGGAAAAUAUCACGGAAUGAUACAGGCCUUAGAAAUACAUGCUGGUCAUUGACGCUGGCUAUGUGGGGGAUAAGAUACUCAUCUUUUACGCUGAAUAGCCACAGAGUGUCUGGAGCCGAGCCGGAACAGGCCACGAGCAUGGCUCUCCUCAAACACACUUUUAAACACAUUCAGUCUGAAUGGGGAUGAAGUCGGCCUAUGGUCGUUUACUUUGCUGGAGAUCUAAGUUGCACUACGGUGAAUGCAGUGAACAGACUUCCGGUUGACCUGGAGACGAGCCGCAGGCUGUCAGGAGAGGUGGCUCUUCUGGCUUGUCAGGUGGGUCAACCCAAAGAGACGCAGCUCUCCAGACUGGUAAGUGUUUUGUAAGCCCAGUGGGUUGAAGAAAGACGCAGACAGCUUCUUCAGGGUCAGCAGUAUUUCCGAGAUGCAUCUCCCUCUUGCUUGAUUAUGUCCAUUCCAGGCAGUUGGUUUGGGGAAAGGUGGCCUCCCCUUAGAGCAGGGUGUUUGACCAGCUCGGGACCCAUGGAGGACAGCCCUGACAUAGGCACGGAGGUCACUGAGGUCAUGCUUGUCUGGCCUGUCAUCUGGUUCAUGUUGCUCAAGCUACCCGUGUCGGUUGCUAUGGAUACAUUGACGUCCAUGCUGUUACUGUACAUCCUGGUAUUUGCUUGUUGCCCAAAUCGAGGUGGGGACUGUGAAAACAUGCUGUUUCCACCCAUGCUCUCCUGUGCCCAUCCGUUCAUGUCUGAGGAGGGCUGGUAAGCUGGGUUGGAUUGAGACUGCUACAUCAUGGGACUCUGGGUAUGUACCAUUAGGAGAGACAUUAAAGGAUUCCGGGGAGUCAUAGCCCCAGGAAAUCUAGGAUCAGGUUCCUGGGAGAUCUGGGGAUUCCUCAUGGCUGCUGGUAGACCAGCGGGAGCUGCCAUGCUUGGGGUCAUAUUCAACCCUUGUCCUCUCAUGGUCAGAAGUUCACUGCUGUACCUGCUGUUGUGGUGCAUCGGUCUCUGCUGAAGAUGCUGGUUGAGGAUUUCCGUCUGCCUCUGGGCCAGCAUCUGUGAAUUAAUAGGAGCCCGAGUUGGGGCUCCAGGCCCCAGAGUCAAGUUCACAUUGGAGACACUGCCAAUCUGAUUCGUAAGAGGACACCUUGAGCGAGGUGCCAUGCGUGGGCCCAGGCCUAGGCAAGCUCCUGUAGAGUCCUUGUUUGUGUCCGACAAGGAGCCAGGCAAGGGUGAAGGUUCCAUCUGGUUGGACUUGGUGGUCAGCAGCUGUAAGAGUUUGGUUUGCCCUUUGCUGUCAUGCAGCCGGCUGUGUCCCUCUGCCUUGUCCCCGCUGGUCGCCUGGGGCAUGCUGGAGCCAUUGGGCCCCUUUUGUUGUUCAGGAUGGUAGCUGGCCUCUGCUUGUCCAGUUGUACCUUCUGAGGGCUCCCCAUGAAGUCUGAAACAGUCUCUGGAAUCCAAACUUCCCGUCUUGCCGAGUGGGGGAGGAUUCAGAUUAACUGGGAAGUUUUGCAAAUUGCCCAUUUUUAGGUCCAGUGAAGCCAGCGAGGACCCGAGUGAGACCCCACGACCCUCGCUGAGGGCUUGCAGUGCAUCGAGGGAACUGUUGGUAUAACUAUGGCUAUUUCCUGUGCUGCUGCGAACGUCCACAGGGGAAUGCAAGCUUCCUGCAGGGGAAAACUGACUGGCAAAGAGAGUGCCACUGGAGAGAAAACGACAGAUCUGACUGAACGCCAACCCAUGCCUGCCUCAGAACCUCAUGAUGAUGACUCUUGGUGUGUGAAGAGACUCCCCUGCUUCAUGCAAUGUGUGGGACUUCUGAAUGCGUCCUCUCACCAGAUCCUCCCAGCCCGGCUUCAUGGCGGCCCUCACGGUGCUAGUGUCCAGAGAAGUGAUUUUUGCCCUGGAUGUCCCUGCGAGUGGUAAAGCUUCCUGAUGAGGGGAGGGCUGAUCUUCCCUUCGUGGGGACUCUUCCUGCCACACAGAUCAAGCAGGACUGCAAAUCUCCGCCUUCCUCUUUGACCUGGCUGAGACACAGAGAAGUACCGCAUCGUCUCGUAUUUCUGAUGGGCUUCCUGGUUACCACGGCCUUCCUCUUCUGAAUCUGGCAAAGGCUUCACCAGCAUCUGACAGUUGAAGGCAUAGAUAGCUAUUCUGCCUCGGAGGUUCUCCAGACAGAGAUCUCCCCCCAUUCACCGUGGACUUUGGCAGCUGGUUCAGUGUGGUUCCGAACAUGCAGGAUGCUGUAGACGAUCUUGUUCAUCAGUUCUUCCUGGCUAUACUGUAGAUGGCUGUGUCACAUUCUCUGACAGGGACACCACAUUGCCUUCCACAUUCACAAUGACGAACCCUUCGUUGUCGAGGGCCUCAAGCCUCACAGGCCACAGUGCAUCCUUGUUGAUGAUAUCCUGCCCUGUGGACCACACAUCUGACUCCCGCAUUUCAUCUAUGCUGGCAGCGGCUGCUUGCUCUUGCUCUUUGAUCCGGUGGAUCUGCUUCACAGUUUCUUUUAAGAUGGCACAUUUAUCAGGUUUGAAAUUGAAGUUGUCGAUAUCAUUAAAAGUUGCAAAAAUGCCGAACCUGUGCCACAGUGCUCCAUACCCAAAUACCAUCGGAGAGAGCUGGUCUCCCAGGAGUGUUGACACACCUGUGAACACUGAUAAGACCACCACUUCUGCUCAAAUUCCUGGCCCAAGAGGGACCUUCCCAGAGCCAUCAGGACUCAGGAACCCAGGAACAGCCGGGGACAGGAUCCUUCAGGUUUCCGUCUGCACCUCAGAGCUGACCCUGUGCCACAGCUCCCCAUACCUAAAUAACUCCUGGGGAAAACUGGUCUCCCAGGAGUGCUGACACACAGGCUUGCAGGAGGGACCAGCCACAGCCACAGCCACAGCCAGAGACAGCAAGACCAGCUAACACUAGAGGUAACCGGAUGGAGAGAGGCAAGGGGAAGAACGUAAGCAAAGAUUUGAAGACAGGCUCUAUAUUAGAUCAUAAUGUUAAUGUGGGUUUCUUGGCUGCAAUAAUUUCUUUAUGGGGCUGCAAAGGAGAGAACGUUGUUCUUCGGAUGUAUGCGCCAAAUGCUGUGGGGUGGCAUGUCACUGUGUGCAUUGGUGAGGACAUGGAGUGAGAGAGAGAGAAAAGAAGGGACAGACUGACAUUAAGUGGAGUGUGGAUAAUCUAGGCAAGGUUCUUGCAUUGUUCCUUCACCUUUGAACACUUUAGAGUUUGAGGAGGGGAAAAAUCCCAGCACUACGGAUCAUUGCAGCCCAACUAAAUGACGACAAGUGGCUGUAUCCAUAAGCAAGGUGAAAGCUCUCCCUUCACCUCCAUGCAGACGUGUUUACUGUCGUUUCCACGAUCUCGGGUCUUUGCAGGCGCUGACAAUCAGAGUUUAGCUAAUGUCUCUGAAUUCUGGCUUCUGAGAAAGUAAAUCUAGUCACUCUAACUUUGAUUCAAGUUCAAGCUGACUCUUGGGUUAGUCACCAGUAACCAAGGGGCUAAGAAUGUUUUAGCCACACGACACACUGUGGACCCAGGUUCUAGAAAGGCAAGGGUUGGCCGUCUGCUGUCUGGGUCCCUUCAAAGGGUCUACUGCAGAGGGUGACUUUUGACAUACGUUGACAAGAGUUAGUAGGAAAAGCCCGUGCGGUUGCCGCUCAUCCGGGGACAGCCUCCUCUGAGACUUUGUUCUCCAAAGCGGAGCUCCCCACCCAGGUAUAUAUACACCUAUCAGUAAAUGCACCAUCUAUUUACUAUUUUAUGUUUUAAAACAUGCGUACUGGUAUGACUUAAUAUGUAUGAAAUAACGCUAAGUCAGGGUUCACAGAGUCCCUUGUCUGAUUCUAAUGUUUUUAUGAACCUUAUCUUGCAAUGCUUCAGAAAUUUCUAUUUACUUCAGGAACUUGUUUGUGCCCAUUCACACAUUUAUUGACACCCACGGAAGCUUUUAAUUUGGUUUCAUAAAGCAAAAUAAA